AUUGAACGCUGGCGGCAGGCCUAACACAUGCAAGUCGAACGGUAACAGGAAGCAGCUUGCUGCUUCGCUGACGAGUGGCGGACGGGUGAGUAAUGUCUGGGAAGCUGCCUGAUGGAGGGGGAUAACUACUGGAAACGGUAGCUAAUACCGCAUAAUGUCGCAAGACCAAAGAGGGAGACCUUCGGGCCUCUUGCCAUCGGAUGUGCCCAGAUGGGAUUAGCUUGUUGGUGGGGUAACGGCUCACCAAGGCGACGAUCCCUAGCUGGUCUGAGAGGAUGACCAGCCACACUGGAACUGAGACACGGUCCAGACUCCUACGGGAGGCAGCAGUGGGGAAUAUUGCACAAUGGGCGCAAGCCUGAUGCAGCCAUGCCGCGUGUAUGAAGAAGGCCUUCGGGUUGUAAAGUACUUUCAGCGGGGAGGAAGGGAGUAAAGUUAAUACCUUUGCUCAUUGACGUUACCCGCAGAAGAAGCACCGGCUAACUCCGUG
rnacentral:rRNA from 1 species